GCCGAUGUAGCUCAAUUGGACAGAGCAGACCCGUCCUAAGGGUAAGGUUGAGAGUUCGAGUCUCUCCAUCGGCGCCA
rnacentral:tRNA from 1 species